rnacentral:rRNA from 1 species
GAUGAACGCUGGCGGCGUGCCUAAUACAUGCAAGUCGAGCGAACAGACGAGGAGCUUGCUCCUCUGACGUUAGCGGCGGACGGGUGAGUAACACGUGGAUAACCUACCUAUAAGACUGGGAUAACUUCGGGAAACCGGAGCUAAUACCGGAUAAUAUAUUGAACCGCAUGGUUCAAUAGUGAAAGACGGUUUUGCUGUCACUUAUAGAUGGAUCCGCGCCGCAUUAGCUAGUUGGUAAGGUAACGGCUUACCAAGGCAACGAUGCGUAGCCGACCUGAGAGGGUGGUCGGCCACACUGGAACAGAGAAACGGUCCAGACUCCUGCGGGAGGCAGCAGUAGGGAAUCUUCCGCAAUGGGGGAAAGCCUGACGGAGCAACGCCGCGUGAGUGAUGAAGGUCUUCGGAUCGUAAAACUCUGUUAUUAGGGGAGAACAAAUGUGUAAGUAACUAUGCACGUCUUGACGGUACCUAAUCAGAAAGCCACGGCUAACUACGUG